rnacentral:tRNA from 1 species
UGGCAGAGCCUGGCAAAUGCAAAAGGCUUAAGCCCUUUUUCCAGAGGCUCAAAUCCUCU